CACUGUAUUCACAUUAGCUUUCAUUUGCCUUUCUUUUGUCUCCCACAAACGCAGUGCUGUGCCUACUGAGCCUCAACAAGUGCAGCUGUAUGAAUCUUCCUUUGUGCCAUAUUGUGUUAAGGAUCUGGGAGACAUGCCAAGAGUAAACAGCUGGGAAGAAAAAGCAACCCCUGAGAACACGGGGGAGAACCUGCUGUGUCGAAGUUCCUGAACAAACAGUCUGACACUAUCAGUCAAAUGCAACGCUGGUGUUCAUGGAAGAAUGGAAAGGCAGAAGGAGUGCUGGACAUUUGUGACAACCAUGACAGAGGACCAUGCAGCCCUGAUAAAAAGAAGUUGAGGCAUAGAGUGCUUUGCAUGAGCCCUGGUGUGAAGAAAGAAAUGGAGCCCAUGCUGACUGACCUCAUCUUUCCCCUGCACAAUAGUUUGGUUUGUGGCUGCAGUGCCAUUUCCCUAGCUUGUAGCUAUGCUUUGUCCUGUCAUUAACCCUUUCUUAAAUGUUUAAAUGGCCUUUGAUGCCCUAAGCUGACAGAGCUAUUGCAAACCACUCUCCCACUGCUCCAGUUCAUCCACUAGAAGGGUGCAGAGGGGGCAGAGCAGAUGCUAGCAGUCAGGCUAGAGGUGCUGCAGGAGAGCUGCAGCAAUUGCCUGAGCCUAGAAUAGCACAAGGGGCUUGAGGCAGUCAUGCCGUCAGAAAGGUGGAUCAGGGCAAGGUGGAUGUAACCAAGGCUUCUCCAGGUCAGGAUUUCGGUUCCCUGGUAGAGCUGUGAAUGCGCAUGUGCAUACAGCAGGCCUGGAAGAAAAAAAAGGCCAUUGCAGGUCACGCUGGAGGUGCUUUACCUGAGGCUUAGGUUAUGUGAAUAUUGCAGGUUCAUGGGCGGUGAGGCCUCAGGUGCUGGCGUGGAUUGGGGGCAUUGCUCCAUAUGCUUACACGGACGUGUCCUCGCCCAGAUGAAGUGCCCAGCUUCUCAUGCUUUGCAUUCAGGUAAUAUUUACAGAAACCAGCUGCUUUGAACUAGAAGAAAGAAAGAAAGUGCAAAAGCAAUCUCAUUUAUGUUUCCUGCCUCACAUUGUGUUUUCAGCAGGCUCCCACAGUCUGCUUGAAGUAAGUAAUGCUUACUUCAAAACUUAAAAAUGAUUCUGAAAGGUUAUUAGAAAAACAGCACUGUGGUGUCAGGGCUCUUCAGGAGAGUAUCCCAAGGAGCACAGGAAGCACCACAUGUUGGCCAUUUGCUACAGAAUCUCUAUUUGUUUUGGGAACGCUACAAGACUGACAGGGAGAGAUGCAAUUUCAGUUUAUGUUGAGAAUCACUAAGACUUUAGUGCAGCUGUCUGACAACAUUAAAACAGCUAAUGGCAAACUCAACAGCAUUGUUGAUGGGAAACGCAGCUAUAAAAUCCUCUUGGCAUUUUGUUCAUGAAAGAGUCUUCAGAGAAACAGCUUGAAAACUGACCCCUGCUUUCUGGUGACUGUCACUUCUGCAGC
rnacentral:lncRNA from 1 species